UACGUAGGGGGCAAGCGUUGUCCGGAUUAUUGGCGUAAGAGCGUGUAGGCGGCUUUACAGGUCCGUUGUGAAAACUCGAGGCUCAACCUCGAGACGCCGGUGGAAACCGUAAAGCAGAGUCCGGAAGAGAGAGUCGGAAUCCUGGUGUAGCGGUGAAAUGCGCAGAUAUCAGAGGAACACCGGUGGCGAAGGCGGCAUCCUGGACCGAGAUUGACGCCUGAGGCGCGAAAGCGUGGGGGAGCAAACAGG
rnacentral:rRNA from 1 species